GCUAAUAAUUUUCGGCUGACAAUUAAACUUCCCUCUUCUUGUAUCCUAGAUCUCUCUCUCUCUUCUUAUCCUUGCGACCUUGCCUACUCCAAUGAGAGUUACCGGACGGGAUGUUCCUCUCUGGGAAGUUUGGGUUUCUGUUAGAUCUGGAGUAGGACUCGGUUCACACAUCUCUAUUCACCGUAGCUCUGCCUCUCUCUCUAUACAUGCCGACGUCCAUUCUGCGUUAUCUGUAGCAGCGCUCCGACAUCAUUUUCAGAUAUGUGGCAGGGCUCUCUCUAUUAGAGCUGGAUCUCGAGAUACUUCAUAUUGUGUUCAGAUCUAUGGGUUUGUGAUUAUACAGUUUCUAUGCCGUCGAAACCCAUCCCAUCUUGAACUAUUCCCGAUUGAGCAGUCCGGUGCUUUCUCCAACCCUCUCCUACUGUUUUAGACGAAGCAAAAGAAGGAGCCUUUCACCGCUAAAAUUCCAAAGAAGCCCAAGAAGAAGGUAGAGAGGAACUGGAAUUAAAUAUUAAGGAUGAAUCUGAUGAGUUCAGAUUACCAACUGACCAGGAACUUGAACAAGAGGCGCAUCAACCUCCUGAUCUUUCACACCUUCAGGGGAGGUUAAAAGAGAGUAAGUUGUACCUCCACUAGUUUAUGUAUUAUAUGUUUGGGCUCAUACUAUGGCUACAAUGACUUUUUGAUUGGAGCUUGAGUAGAGGUGACUGAUUGCUUCUUUAAUGUUGUGAUGGAGCUGUUGGAAAAACUUGCAUGCUGAUCUCUUAUACCAACAUUACCUUCCCCACUGUAAGAAGCAUGGUGUUAAUUUCAUCAUGAUUCAUAUAUAACUAAUCAGUCAAGUUUGUUUCAUUGAUUUAUGACAUAUUUUUUAAUUGCUAAUGUGGUGGUGGAUGGAAGCACAGUUAACCUUUGGAUUAUGGGACACUGCAGGUAAGUAAUUGUUCUAUGUGGGUGCUUGGUUUCUACUAGUCUGCUAUUUUACCAUGGUGAAGAUUAUCAAGGUUAUAUUACUGAUUGAAGUAACUGCCCUACAUAACACAAAAUGACUAAUAAUAUAGCCUGGAUAACAAAAACUGUGUUAUUCCUAAGAAAAUGUUCUUUUAAAAGACUUUAUGCCAUCAUAUUUUCACUUUCUGUCUGGAUUAUUAAUUUGGUGGAUUUUGCAUAAAAGAUGGUUUGGAUUGAUAAUAUGUUAGAAUAAAUACCAUGAACCUUCACAUAUGUGCAAUAUGCAUAUGCUUAAUCUGUAAUUAUAUGAUUGGGAGGAAAUUGAGCGCUUGUUACUAAGUUUGGGAUGUUCUAACUUGCUUCGUUACUAUGUUUCAGGCUGGUCUUAUAAGCGCUUAUAUCAUAAAAACACUCUACUUUGGAAGGCAUUCUACAGAUCGUGAAGUUGCUCUCAUGAUGCUUAUGGCUUAUUUGUCAUACAUGUUGGCUGAGGUACCCUAAAACAGAAUAUGGAUAACUACAACUACUUGGACCUUAAUUAUGAAGGUUUUAAGUGAAUGCAGAAGAUUAUUACAAAGGAACUGAUAAUGUUUUAGAUUUUAGCAUGGUGAUGAUAUGUUGGUUUAGUUAAGUUGUUUUUGUACAAUACUCAAUUGUUGUUGGCAUAUAAAUGUAUAAUUUACAUUUUCUAAUGUGAUACUUGCAGUUUGU